rnacentral:rRNA from 1 species
UGUUGCCUACGGGGCGCAGCAGUAGGGAAUCUUCCACAACGGACGAAAGUCUGAUGGAGCAACGCCGCGUGAGUGAAGAAGGGUUUCGGCUCGUAAAGCUCUGUUGGUAGUGAAGAAAGAUAGAGGUAGUAACUGGCCUUUAUUUGACGGUAAUUACUUAGAAAGUCACGGCUAACUACGUGCCAGCAGCCGCGGUAAUACGUAUGGGGCAAGCGUUAUCCGGAUUUACUGGGUGUAAAGGGAGCGCAGGGGGCUUGGCAAG